GGAUGUGAGUGUAAGCUGACUUUAACCUCUGUCACCCCUUUGGUUGGCAGGGUUUGUUCUGCUGAUCUGGCUGGCCAGCCAGGUAUGCCUUUCCUUUCUCACUACUCC
ensembl:misc_RNA Gm24748 predicted gene, 24748